GAUGAACGCUGGCGGCGUGCUUAACACAUGCAAGUCGAGCGAGAAGUUUUGAAAAGAUUCUUCGGAUGAAAUUUAAAAUGGAAAGCGGCGGACGGGUGAGUAACGCGUAGGCAACCUGCCCCAUACAAAGGGAUAGCAUUUGGAAACGAAUAUUAAUACCUUAUGAAACUUAACUAGUGCAUGCUAGGUAGGUCAAAGAUUUAUCGGUAUGGGAUGGGCCUGCGUCUGAUUAGCUAGUUGGUGAGGUAACGGCUCACCAAGGCGACGAUCAGUAGCCGACCUGAGAGGGUGAACGGCCACAUUGGAACUGAGACACGGUCCAAACUCCUACGGGAGGCAGCAGUGGGGAAUAUUGCACAAUGGGGGAAACCCUGAUGCGGCAACGCCGCGUGAACGAUGAAGGCCUUUGGGUCGUAAAGUUCUGUUCUAGGUGAUGAAAACUGACAGUAACCUAGGAGAAAGCCCCGGCUAACUCCGUG
rnacentral:rRNA from 1 species